GCUGAAAACAAAAUAUUAAAAGGAAACCUGGAAGGCAGCCAAAGAAAAAAGGCAUAUUACAUUCCCUGAGGGAGGGAGGAGACUCUCAGAGAGUCAUCAGAAACAUCAUUCUCAUUUUCUUUAGAAAUCAUCAAUCCAAAAAUUAAAAAGAAAAAAGGAAAUCUAGAAUUGCCUUCACCAAACUCAGAGCAGCCUAUUUUGUAGCAAUCUUAAAACUGUUGAGAGCAUGCCCUUUGACCACCAGGUAUUCCAAAGUCCAGAGAAGUGCGUAAUUCAAAUUGGGCCAGGAAAACAACUCCCUCUACACACAGAAUUGUUUCUGCCACUAACUUCUUCUUCAACCUGCCUCCUCUGCCCACUGACCCUGCUAGUGAUGUCUGUGCUGUUGUCCCCAGCACAGGGGACAUUGCAAAGGGAGAUUGUAGAAAACCAGUACAAUCCUAGGCACACUCAACUCUGGGGAAGAAGGAGACUGAACAUAUUGCCAGGGAGAGAAGGCAAGUGGCCCCCUGCCCUGCUGAAGAGAAAGGACCCCUCCCUGAGGCUCACUGUGGAGAGGAAAGUGUCUCUCCCUACCAGGAGCUCAGCUGGCCUCUCAGACAGCUUUAGGUGUCCAACAGGAACGGCGAGCUCUCCCAUGAAGUCAGCACUUCCUGGUUCUAGAAGCUUCCUGACCAAAGCUCCAGCCUGACAGCCAAGCUCUAGUCUAUGGAGGUGUUGAUGGGAAUCCCUCAAAGAGUCAUCUCUCAGAUACCAAUGGAUUGCGCCUUCCCUCAUCAGGGUCUCCUUGGUGUAUGGGUUGAAUUGUGUCCCCCUCCCCCAACCACCACCAAAAAAGAUACGUUGAAAUCCUCAGCGCCCAGUACCUCAGAACAGGACCUUAUUUGAAAUAGGGUCUUUACAGAGGUCGUUAGGGUGGACUCUAAUCUGAUACGACUGGUGUCCUUAUUAAAAGGAGAAAUUUGGACACAGAGACACACAUAUAUGUAGAGAGAAAACAAAACGUGAAGAGACACAUCUACAAGCCAAGAAGAGAUGCUGGAUCUCCUUCACAGCCCUCGGAAGGAAACAACCUGCUGACACCUUGAUUCUGGAAAUCUAGCCUCCAGAACUGUGAGACGAUACACUUCUGCUGCUUAAGCCCUCCAGGUUGUGGUACUUGGUCACAGCCCGUCCCAGGAAACUGAUGUUCUUGGCUCCAUGUCCUCCAAGACCCAGGGGGUCAGGCCCAAGGGACAGCAUAUGUACAUCUGAGGCCGUCUGAUUCUGGAGGUCAUUCCACAGUGGAUUCAGGGAAAUGAGCUCAACAAGGGCCAAGCAGUGUCACUAGGAAUAUUGUUAAGGGCUUUGGUCCCUUACAGGGCAUGGAAUCUCUUGAUCCAAAAUCUAAACGUAAUGGACACAUAGACUGUGUGUGUAUGUGUGUGUGUCCCGUAGGAGAGUGGGUGUGAGAAAUGGUGACCCAGAAGGAAGGUCCCCAGGAGAUCCCUCAGGGCCUCGUUCCAGGUGGCAUACGGAUGUUGUCAUGAUUUCCAUAAUCUGUCCCAGCGAAUAGUUCCUCUUCAGCUUGGACUCCAGGCCAAAAGCAAACCUCUCUGCCCAAAGAGCAAAAAUACAGAUUUGCCCAUAAAAAUAAGUUAACAUAAAAACACGAAGUUCCUCGAAAAGAAAGGCUCCAUAGACGUAAAGGG
rnacentral:lncRNA from 12 species